rnacentral:rRNA from 1 species
AUUGAACGCUGGCGGCAGGCCUAACACAUGCAAGUCGAGCGCGAAAGGCCUUCGGGCUGAGUAGAGCGGCGGACGGGUGAGUAACGCGUAGGAAUCAACCCGGUAGUGGGGGACAACUUGGGGAAACUCAAGCUAAUACCGCAUACGCCCUAUGGGGGAAAGUGGGGAACCUUCGGGCCUCACGCUAUCGGAUGAGCCUGCGUAGGAUUAGCUAGUUGGUGAGGUAAAGGCUCACCAAGGCGACGAUCCUUAGCUGGUCUGAGAGGAUGAUCAGCCACACUGGGACUGAGACACGGCCCAGACUCCUACGGGAGGCAGCAGUGGGGAAUAUUGCGCAAUGGGGGCAACCCUGACGCAGCCAUGCCGCGUGUGUGAAGAAGGCCUUCGGGUUGUAAAGCACUUUCAAUGGGGAAGAAAAGCGUAGCGUUAAUAGCGUUGCGCCGUGACGUUACCCAUAGAAGAAGCACCGGCUAACUCCGUGCCAGCAGCCGCCGUAACAC